GGAUUGAACGCUAGCGGGAUGCUUUACACAUGCAAGUCAAACGGCUGCGCGGACUUCGGUCUGGCGGCGAGUGGCGAACGGGUGAGUAAUAUAUCGGAACGUGCCCAGUAGCGGGGGGAUAACGUACGCGAAAGCGUGGACUAAUACCGCAUACGCCCUACGGGGGAAAGGGGGGGAUCGCAAGACCUCUCACUAUGGAGCGGCCGAUAUCAGAUUAGCUAGUGGUGAGGUAAAGGCUCACCAAGGCGACGAUCUGUAGCUGGUUUGAGAGGACGACCAGCCACACGUGGGACUAGGACGACGACCGGCCCCAGACC
rnacentral:rRNA from 1 species